GGGAGAGAUAGUGAAGAAUGCGGCAAAAUAAUCAUUAAUUGUGUUAUUAGACUAGCUUUUUUUGUUAAUAUGAAAAUUGACGCAACAGCAAGCUCAAAGCCCCUUAUGAGCCAGAGCCUGUUAGGUGCAGGCUUAAUUGGCUCAUCCGAGGGAAGCGGAGCUUCGGCGACUAGCUGGUUGCGUCUGCUUAUCAACUUCUUCCAAUUCACUUUUACAUCAACUCCUUAUAAAUUUGUAAAUUAAGGUCAACUUUGUAAGAACUAAUACCUGUGCCAUACUAUAAAUUGGACGAUAUGCCUAAUUAAUUGUUAUUAAUGUUGAAUUUUUAAUGGCGUAUAAUAUAAGACAGCGGUCGUAUAAUGACUGAGAAAUUUGGAUUUUUCUGUUUGAAUAAACAGCAAACUGGAGACAUUGAGAUUAAUUAUAAACUUAUUAUUUUAGGUGUUAUCAAGAAAAAAGGUCUUAACAGAUUUAUGAAUAGGCAUUGGCAGAAAAACAGGCGUCCGACUUUUAUCAUGUAGCUAUAUCUAUAUGACCUCUGCCGCCGACUUUUUCACCCGUUGGCGCCUGUGCCCAAAUCCUUCUAAGACCGAAGUUUGCUGUUUCCACCUGUCCAAUAAGCUGGCACAUAAGACAGCCUUACAACAUAACUAUUCUCCAAAGUAUCUCGGUGUUACACUGGACAGAAGCCUGACAUACCGAUUGCACAUAGAGAAGCUAAAAAGUAAAAUAAGGACCAGGAUAUUUUAAUUACGAUACAUAAAUAACUACUAAAACAUGUUUUCUGCAAGAAAUUAGUUAUCUUAUUAUAUUAUAAAAUAUUUAUUAUCCAUCUGUGAUGUUUAUUUCUUGUGAAGAUAUCGAAGUUUCGCUGUGUAGCACUUAUCGAUAUAUAAUAUGAUCAAAAUCGACCCGUCCACAUCCCUAAAAAUCCACACAUACACAUUUUUACGCACAUAUACAAAGCAGUAUAACCACCAAAAUGGCUACGGCUUGAGUAUUCAAAUUUGUAUUGAGAAAAGGCAACUAUAUCCUGUCUUUAUUUGCCUCUCUAUCGCUCGAAUAUGCAAUACGCAUGCACUCUUCGUCAAAAUCGGUUUCAAACUUUUUCGACUGAGUACGCGCAAUAAACGCCUAGUAGUAGUAUUUAAAUGUUUACCGUAUUCAUUUAAAGCAUCGUAGGACAAUGCCGCUAUGUAAACUGUAAGGUGGGUCUUAAAUUAGUGUGAGUUAUUUUGGCACCGGACUCAACCUUCACGUUACAAUAUUUAAAGUAUUGCGCUGUCAUAGUAACGAAAAUGAUAAACACGUCAAUCGGAGUAAACAAGUAACUAAAUGAUGCAAACAAGAAAAUAUUGCAAAAUAGGUACAUAUAUAUGUACCGAUAAUUAUUUUGUGUUAAAAAUAUGAGGCAAAUUAUACUGCCCGAUUAUACGGACUACAUAUUAAAAACGAUUAUCUUGGAAACAGUCAAUAGAUGUCGAACCACCAGCAAAGUUUUUGAAGAGGUGUACCUAGUUCCUGGUACCAACUGGAAACUGAAACUAAUAAUCUACACUCAAGAAAAUGAAAUAUAGUCACAGAAAACUUUAA